rnacentral:misc_RNA from 1 species
ACAAACUUGGUCAUUUAGAGGAAGUAAAAGUCGUAACAAGGUAACCGUAGGUGAACCUGCGGUUGGAUCAUUACAGAAAAAAUAUGGUCGUCGGUCAGCCUUCAUUGGCCGCCGACGAUGCAUAUUUCACACCAACCUAUGUGAACGUUUCCUGUAUUUUGGCGGCCGCGUUUGUUGGGUGCGUAAAAGCAGUUUCUUUGACUGGGGGGUUUCCCUGUCUUUGCCUCUUUUCCAUCCAAGGGGGUGCACGAGAGCAGUUUCUUGGGCAGGGGCUUUCCCUGCUUCUUGCCUGCCUGCCAUCCUUGCGGUCGCCAGCCAAUUUGGUCAAACUCCAUUGUUUAAUUCCAUUUCUGUGUGUUUUUGCCUCUUAUGGGGUUUAUUUCAAUAUGAAAACAACUUUUGACAACGGAUCUCUUGGCUCUCGCAUCGAUGAAGAACGCAGC